CAUGGUGCGGCAUGUCGAAGACGCUGCGGAAGAAGCGGCACUGGCUGAGCAAGGUGCAGGAGUGCGCCGUGUCCUGGGGGCCGCCGCAGCCCGGCGGGGCGCCCGACCCCGACCUGCUGCGGGGCGGCGCCGAGCUCGGCGAGUUCCCCUACCUGGGGGGCCGCCUGCUGCUGGGGGAGCUCGGCGGGCCCGGCCCGGUGCUGCUCUCCGGCAAGCCCCCUAGCCCCGGGGACGUGCUGCUGGAGGUGAACGGCACCCCCGUGAGCGGCCUCACCCACCGCGACACCCUGGCCGUCAUCCGCCACUUCAGGGAGCCCGUGCGCCUCAAGACCGCGCGCCCAGGAAAAGUGAUCAACAAAGACUUGCGUCACUACCUGAGCCUGCAGUUCCAGAAAGGCUCAAUAGACCAUAAACUCCAACAGGUGAUCAGAGACAAUCUUUACCUGAGAACCAUCCCAUGCACUACAAGGGCUCCCAGGGAUGGGGAGGUCCCAGGGGUGGACUAUAAUUUCAUUCCUGUUGAACAGUUUAAAGCAUUGGAAGAAAGUGGAGCCUUGCUAGAAAGUGGAACAUAUGAUGGUAAUUUCUAUGGUACACCAAAGCCUCCAGCAGAGCCCAGUCCCUUUCAGCCAGACCCAGUGGAUCAAGUUCUUUUUGACAAUGAUUUUGAUGCAGAAUCCCAGAGAAAAAGAACCACGUCGGUCAGCAAGAUGCAAAGAAUGGAUAGCUCUCUCCCUGAGGAGGAAGAGGAGGAAGAAAAGGAAGCAGUUAAUGGCAGUGGAGGUGCAGAAAACCGAGAGAGACAUUCAGAUUCUUCUGACUGGAUGAAGCCUGUUCCUAGUUACAACCAGACAAGCAGCUCCAUGGAUUUCAGAAAUUACUUGUCAAGGGAUGAGAGCCUAGAGCCUCUACCCAAGAACUGGGAGAUGGCCUACACAGAAACAGGCAUGGUCUACUUCAUAGAUCACAACACCAAGACAACCACUUGGCUUGAUCCUCGGCUCUGUAAGAAAGCCAAAGCUCCUGAAGACUGUGAGGAUGGAGAACUUCCUUAUGGCUGGGAGAAAAUAGAAGACCCUCAGUAUGGAACAUACUACGUCGAUCACAUUAACCAGAAAACCCAGUUUGAAAAUCCAGUAUUGGAAGCCAAGAGAAAAAAACAGCUAGGACAGACUGAUGUUGGCCCUUCAAAACCAGAACCAGAGAAGUCACUCUUCACCAGAGAUCCAGCCCAACUUACAGGAGCCCUUAUACGGACAUCAUUGAAGAAAAGCACUAUGGGAUUUGGUUUCACAAUCAUUGGUGGAGACAGACCUGAUGAGUUCCUCCAGGUGAAGAAUGUGCUGAAAGAUGGACCUGCUGCGCAGGAUGGGAAAAUUGCGCCAGGUGACGUCAUUGUAGACAUAAAUGGCAGCUGUGUCCUUGGCCAUACCCAUGCAGAUGUUGUUCAGAUGUUUCAGCUAGUUCCUGUCAACCAGUAUGUGAAUAUGACUUUGUGUCGCGGUUACCCGCUUCCUGAUGACAACGAAGAUCCUGCUGUAGACAUCGUUACAGCUACACCCAUCAUCAAUGGCCAGCCAAUGACCAAGGGAGAUAUCUGCAUAACCAGCCAAGAUUUAAUACCUGGAACAGUCAUUUUAGACCAAAAUGGGAAACCGGGUCACAUUUUGGUCAAUGGUCGCCUGAACAGCCCUUCUAUGGACCCAAAUGAACAGAGGAUCUCCGUAUCCUCUCCAGGAGGCUCCCAGCCAGAACUAAUCACUAUUCCUCUGGUCAAGGGCCCUAAAGGAUUUGGGUUUGCAAUCGCAGACAGCCCUACAGGGCAGAAAGUGAAGAUGAUUUUAGACAGCCAGUGGUGCCACGGCCUUCAGAAGGGAGAUGUAAUCCAAGAGAUUUACCAUCAGAACGUACAAAACUUGACACAUCUGCAGGUGGUGGAGGUGCUGAAGCAGUUUCCAGUGGGAGCCGAGGUCCCGCUGCUUAUCUUAAGGGGAGGUCCCCCCUCACCUGCUAAAACUGCCAAAGUGAAAGCAGAUAAGCAGGAGAAUUCAGGAAGCUUAGAGGCUAUUAGUGAUUCCAUUCCACAGCCUAUGCCAUUCCCACCUGCUGCUGUGAGGUCAGGUUCUCCAAAACUAGACCCUUCAGAAGUCUAUCUGAAGUCUAAGACAAUAUUUGAAGACAAGCCUCCAAACACAAAGGAUUUGGAUGUUUUCCUGCGAAAACAGGAGUCUGGGUUUGGCUUCCGCGUGCUCGGAGGGGAUGGACCAGACCAGUCAAUCUAUAUUGGGGCCAUCAUCCCACUGGGAGCAGCAGAGAAAGACGGCCGACUCCGAGCUGCUGAUGAGCUGAUGUGCAUUGACGGAAUCUCUAUCAAAGGGAAAUCACACAAACAGGUCCUGGACUUGAUGACCGGUGCUGCACGGAAUGGCCAGGUGCUGCUCACUGUCCGGAGGAAGAUCUUCUUUGGCGUUGAGAAACAGCCAGAAGAGGAGGAGUCGCAGCUGCCCAUUUCCACUCAAAAUGGAUCUCCCCGGCUGAACCAGGUAGAGGUCACAAGCAGACAGCCCCCAGAAGCCUAUGAUGUCCUGCUACAGCGGAAAGAGAAUGAAGGAUUUGGCUUUGUCAUCCUUACCUCAAAAAACAAACCUCCUCCUGGCGUGAUUCCCCACAAGAUCGGGCGUGUUAUUGAAGGGAGCCCAGCCGAUCAAUGUGGGAAGCUGAAAGUGGGAGACCGUAUCUCAGCCGUGAAUGGGCAGUCAAUCAUAGAGCUGUCCCAUGACAGUAUAGUGCAGCUGAUUAAAGAUGCAGGCCACGUGGUCACCCUGACUGUCGUUGCUGAGGAAGAGCACCGUGGCCCCCCUUCAGGAACCAACUCUGCCAAACAAAGUCCAGCCCCACAGCACAGACCUAUGGGAACAACACAAGCCAACUCUGCAACAGCAGACAGGGGAGUCACAGAAGAUGAAGCUGGAAGAGAACUUUCCAACAGUUACAGGCUUCCCUGGCCUGAGCACAAGCACUUGCCCCAGCCCGACGGCGGCGCUCUUUCCAUUGUAGGCAGCCGUCAUUCUCAGAGUCUUGGCUGUUCUCCAGUAGAACUGGAACGAGGCCCUCGGGGUUUUGGAUUCAGUCUUCGCGGAGGAAAGGAGUACAACAUGGGCUUAUUCAUCCUUCGACUUGCUGAGGAUGGGCCUGCCAUCAAGGAUGGAAGAAUUCACGUUGGUGACCAGAUUGUUGAAAUCAAUGGCGAACCUACCCAAGGUAUCACUCAUACACGAGCCAUUGAGCUGAUUCAAGCAGGAGGAAAUAAAGUUGUUCUUCUUCUGAGACCAGGGACUGGCUUGAUACCAGAUCAUGGUGAUCAAGAUAGUUUUAAUCCAUCAUCCUCAAAUAUAAUAUAUGAUGAACAGUCACCAUUACCCCCCUCUGCAGUAUGUGAUUUACCAGUACUGGAAGAAGCUUUAGCGAAUGUUCACGUAUCUGAGAAACUGGAAGAAGCUAAGAACACUGUGCCUGAAAAGAAAAGCACUUUAACUGAAAACCAGUCUGAGCUGAAGCAUCUGUCUUCUACCCAGAAGCAUAUGAAGAGAUGGGACCAGCCUACCAGUUUAGGGUAUAAGCGGUCAAAAAAUUUAGAAUUAGUAACUGAUGACCUCAUUAGGAGAGACCGAUCUGAGAGUCCAAAAAGAUUGGGCACAUGUGGGGAAUCGCAGCAAGCGGGGCUCCACAGUCCGAGGAAAGGUGAGAGACAAAACACACCCAGCAAUCUCUCAGACCAGUCUGAGCAUCCCAGGAGAGGUAAUACACACUCAGAAAUCAAUUUAAAAGAAACUUCCAGAGGAAGCCAAGGCAGAUCUGCCAGUCCCCAAAAGCAUCCCAAAAAGGAAGAAAGUGGGGACAAAUCAGACAAGUUACUAGAGACUCAAGAUAAAAUAGCUGGUGGUGGUGAUAUUGAGAUUAUUGAGCGGUUCAAAGAUGGAAAUGAAAAAUCAGGAGUAACACAGGAAGACACAAAGCAGAACAUUGCUGGAAAGAAUAAGAAGUGGUCUCAAGAGAGAAAAAACCCAAAAGCAGAUGAAAAGACUCUUCCAUUAAAUAAGGCCAAUGAGCCUAGGAGAAAAGUAGAUGAAGAUGAAAAAGUAAAGAAAGCCAGUGCUGGAGAGCCAAGUUCUAGCAACUUCAAAACUACAAGUCUUUCUGGUGCUUCACAGCUUUCCAAGGAAAAAAAAAGUAGGCUCGAAACACAAGAUCCAGUUAUUCUGAACAAAGACCACACAGAAAAAGACUUGGAGCCAACUGAUGAAACCAAAGAUGAUGGAAUUUCAAAAACUGAAUGCAGCUCUCCAGUCAAGAAAGCACCAAUAACUCCUGGACCUUGGAAGGUACCAAGAGCAAGUAAAGUCACAAAAGCAACAGGUGUCACUGAAAAACGGGUCUGACUGACAAACAUUUUUAGAACAUGUUUUAAUCAGGUUUCUAAUACGGUCAAUUAAACGCAUCUUUUUUCCACAAAGUUGUCAUUUUUCAGAAACUAACUCCAGAGGCUGGACAGUACAUUUGAUUUGUUCUUAAAAUUAACUAAGCUGCAUGAAGGACCUUUCGGAUUGCUUAUAAGCAACUCUCUUCCAUAAGCUGCUAUCCCCUCAUCCUUUUGAAGGCAGUGUCCUGCUGCUCUCUCAACAUUGCACUGCUAAGGCUUUCUCAGAUAGUAUUGUGAGUUUCUGAACAAACUUUCUUAAUGCCUGUAUUGCCAAUGUGAUCAUGACUCACUUCUUGUUCUUGUGCCAAGUUAUGUACUGUAGCCAAUCAAUUUCAUCCUCCUUGUACGUUUUUCCCAGACACAGCAAAGCCAAGAUUUUGUUUGAAAAUAGCUAUUUUCUCAAAGGCAUGUCGCAUGUUUAUAUAGGGGAAUAACUCGAGUUCUCACAACUUCAAUAAGAAGGUUUUCAAUGACUGAAAAUAAACAGUAAAAGGAGCUGGGCCAGUUCACAAAAGCAGAGGAAAAAAGGUAAGGAAAGUCAAGAUCAGUUGCUGGACCCUCGUGUUAAACUAAUGACUUGUCCAUUAAAAACAUAACUGAGCAGCUGCUAAGUCUCACUAAACUUAAAAAAAUCAGUUCUGACUUGAAGCUAGAAACUUUUGAAAUAGACAACUACUUAGCAGUAGGCUUAAAUGAACAGUUCUAAAAUAAAUAGAUUUUAAAGCACAUCUGAACUGCCCUCUGCUGCUUCACAUUUUAUGAAUCCAUCAGUUUGCUGUAGCAUAAAGUGUACAAAUCCUCAAUAUUGUAGAGUUUGACUGUGAAAAUAUUUCAGUUAGCCUAUGUAGAUAUUAAUCCUGUAUUCUUGGUUGAUAACCCUGUGGGAUCCUCUUUAAGAGUUGUAUGCACUUGUUCUAACCAUUGAGAAUAGUACCAAAUUCAGAAAUUUAAUACUAAGAUGAAUUAGCACCAUUUCAAUGGUUAACUGUCAGCAAGUACACAUCCAUCCAAAUGCUGUUUUCUGAUUGUUAACAUUGUGACCUGCUUUGGUGUCCUCUGUUUGAGUCUUUUCUAGAGAACUUGUACCUGUACUUACUGUAUAAGAUGACUUAGCAAUGUGGCCUUGGAAUGCUAAGCAACAUAUGGAUGUAAAUGUUUAUAUAUUGUACAGCACCUUUAUAUAUACACUUCUGAGGUUCUGACUAGAGAGACCUGUAAAUCGCUCAUUAUUUUUUAUAUAGAUAUAUUAAAAAAAUUCCCAUUCA